CUACGGGUUGCUGCAGUGAGGAAUUUUGCGCAAUGGGCGAAAGCCUGACGCAGCAACGCCGCGUGAGUGAUGAAGGCCUUCGGGUCGUAAAGCUCUGUCAAGUGGGAAGAACCUAUGUAAUGUUAAUAUCAUUAUAUACUGACGGUACCACUGAAGGAAGCACCGGCUAACUCCGUGCCAGCAGCCGCGGUAAUACGGGGGGUGCAAGCGUUAUUCGGAAUCAUUGGGCGUAAAGGGCACGUAGGCGGCCUGGUAAGUCAGAUGUGAAAGCCCGGGGCUUAACCCCGGAAGUGCAUUUGAUACUGUCAGGCUUGAGUAUGGGAGAGGGAAGUGGAAUUCCUGGUGUAGAGGUGAAAUUCGUAGAUAUCAGGAGGAACACCGGUGGCGAAGGCGACUUCCUGGACCAAUACUGACGCUGAGGUGCGAAGGCGUGGGUAGCAAACAGGAUUAGAUACCCCUGUAGUC
rnacentral:rRNA from 1 species